rnacentral:lncRNA from 1 species
AUAUAGUUGGUUGAAUCUACAAAUCUAGAACCCACAGAUGUGAAGGGCUGACUAUACAUAUAAUUCUAGAGAACACAGUUUUCUGUCUUCUAACGAUGAUCAAUAUUGUUACUAUAGGUUUGUAGUAAUGGAAUAGUACAUUUUUAAGAAAUAGUGUAUUUCUUUAUAAUUUUAAUUAGUAAUUAUAUAUGAAAUACACAGCUUAUAGAAGUGAUUAUAUGUUGGCAUUAUUAAAAGAUUAAUGUAUCAUUGGCUUGACUUUAUGCAUUUAACAAAUCACUGAAUACAUAACUAUUUUUUAUUAAAAAAUUUUAAAAAUAUAUUAUUCUGAGUAAUAUCUAUAUAACUAUUUUUUUAAGGUAAAUGGUGACUAGAAUUUUACUUCAAACUAUGUUCUUGAUCUACUGUGUGAACUUAUUUUAUCUUAAAUUUAUAUUAAAUCUUUAUAAUAAUA